AUUAAACGCUGGCGGCAUGCCUUACACAUGCAAGUCGAACGGCAGCACGGGGGCAACCCUGGUGGCGAGUGGCGGACGGGUGAGUAAAGCAUCGGAACGUAUCCUGGAGUGGGGGGAUAACGUAGCGAAAGUUACGCUAAUACCGCAUAUUCUGUGAGCAGGAAAGCAGGGGAUCGCAAGACCUUGCGCUCUGGGAGCGGCCGAUGUCGGAUUAGCUAGUUGGUGGGGUAAAGGCCUACCAAGGCGACGAUCCGUAGCGGGUCUGAGAGGAUGAUCCGCCACACUGGGACUGAGACACGGCCCAGACUCCUACGGGAGGCAGCAGUGGGGAAUUUUGGACAAUGGGCGCAAGCCUGAUCCAGCCAUGCCGCGUGAGUGAAGAAGGCCUCGGUUGUAAGACUCUUCGGCGGGGUAAGGAAAGUUAGACACGGGUUAAGUACCCUACGUGUAGAUGACGGUA
rnacentral:rRNA from 1 species